AUUGAACGCUGGCGGCAUGCCUUACACAUGCAAGUCGAACGGCAGCACGGGAGCAAUCCUGGUGGCGAGUGGCGAACGGGUGAGUAAUAUAUCGGAACGUGCCCGGUCGUGGGGGAUAACGUAGCGAAAGCUACGCUAAUACCGCAUACGAUCUACGGAUGAAAGCGGGGGAUCGCAAGACCUCGCGCGAUUGGAGCGGCCGAUAUCAGAUUAGGUAGUUGGUGAGGUAAAGGCUCACCAAGCCGACGAUCUGUAGCUGGUCUGAGAGGACGACCAGCCACACUGGGACUGAGACACGGCCCAGACUCCUACGGGAGGCAGCAGCGGGGAAUUUUGGACAAUGGGCGCAAGCCUGAUCCAGCAAUGCCGCGUGCAGGAUGAAGGCCUCGGUUGUAAC
rnacentral:rRNA from 1 species